CUUUGCUGUACGGCAGUAUCCAGACCUUCUGACAGACACAGAGCCCCGUUUGGGUCCCUGAAUGAGACAAAGUUUAGUGAAGAGGCUCCACGCUGCUCUUUAUCGGAGACAGGAGACACAGAGGGACAGACAGGUCUGCUUCAGAGCUCUGUGUUUUGAAAUUCGGGAGCAGCAACAACCACGUGACGUGUUCGUCCAAUCAGCUGCCAUGUGUUGCGUUCAUCACGCUCAUCCCCCUCGUCGUUUCCAGUAAGUGUUUUAACAUAGGUGUCGAAAGUGGUCACUACAGCAGUUAAGUGGUUAGUGCACGUUAACAGCGGACUGACGAACCGUGCGACACACACACGCUCCGAACCGAGACAUGCGAACCGAGGGGUUUGGAUGUUUUUUCAUGAACCGUACCACCCCUAAUGUUGCAACACAUCAACAGAUUCAGAACUUUAAUUUCAAGUGUAUACUCUAUUUUUUGUAUGUAUAUAUGUGAAUAUAUACGAGUGUUUCUGUCGAGAUAAGGAGUAAUUCUAUAACAUAAAAUGGCAUAACAACGAGAAAUAGACAUUUCUUGAAGAAAAAAAGAAAUUCAUAAAGCUGCUGAUGAUCCAGUGAAGACACUCUGAGCAAACUGGUUUCAUCAAGCAGACAUUUAUUAAUGAUUCACAGAAAACUGCAUCAAGCAGGAUGUUACUCCAGGAGCAACAACAGAAUAUAAUAAAGAAGUCAUUCUUGAAACAAAUAUCUUAGUUUAAAUUAUUCUAUAAUAUAAGCUUAAUUUCCACACAAAGAGAAAGAUAUAGACAUGCAUUAAUAUGGAUUAACAUUCACAGCCCAGCGAUCAGUUAGGUAGUUUCCAGGAGGAUGACUGGUACCUCUCCAGCUACCAGUCACCACUCACACUACCCUCUGGUCCCAAUAUAUAUUUACUGAGAAUAUAUUUAAUCACUCAAAAAAAAAGUACAACAUAAAUGGAUUAACAUGUUUUUGUCAUCAUUUAUCAUUAAGCAUGAAUACAUAUGAAGACACCAGGGUAUAUAAUAUAUAAUCACAUACACUGAUUAUAAUAUAUAUCAAAUAAAAGUCCAUAAGAUUUCAUGAAUGAAGUGUGAAAGUUGGAUUGAGCUCCAACACAGCAGCAGAAUAUUUGUGUCUGAGUCAAGAGAAGAACACAUCCUCUGUACAAACUGAUUAACAGGAGGAAGGAAACAUCAUGUUUAAUUGCGUAAUAUGGAUAUUUAUAUUCUCUUCACUGCAUAUAUGGAUAUUUAUUAGUGCUGUCAAACGAUUAAAAUAUUUAAUCGUGAUUAAUCGCAUUAAUGUCAUAGUUAUCUCGCAAUUAAUCACACAUUUUUUUCUAUUCUAAAUGUCCCUUGAUUUCUUUUUGGCUCAUUGUUUUUUCUCAUUUUAAUGCUCUUAUCAACAUGAUACGAUACUUUUAAAAUG
rnacentral:lncRNA from 1 species